GCACCCGUAGUUCAGUGGAUAGAACGCAGCGUUGCGGACGCUGAGGUCGGGGGUUCAAGUCCCUCCGGGUGCACCA
rnacentral:tRNA from 1 species